GUCUGAAAGGCAAUCGCUGAUGCUUUUUGCAUUUGAGGAAAGUCCGGGCUCCACAGGGCAGCGUGCUGGAUAACGUCCAGCGGGGGUGACCCUCGGGAAAGUGUCAUAGAAACGGAAACCGCCCCGCCUCGGCGGAGCAAGGGUGGAAAGGUGCGGCAAGAGCGCACCAGCAGCCAGGCGACUGGCUGGCUUGACAAACCCCACGCGGAGCAAGACUGAAUAGGGAAGGGAUGAUGCGGCCCGCGGAACCUUCCGGGUUAAGUCGCUUGAGCCUCGUGGCAACACGCGGCGUAGAUAAAUGAUUGCCACCGUCCUCGCGGGCGGCACAGGACCCGGCUUAUUGACG
rnacentral:RNase_P_RNA from 1 species